GUCCUCAGAAAAUGGUGGUGCACAGUACUGCCUGAGAACUUCCACCUGGAUGGGCACGGCAGAAGGUUCCCACACUUCAUGGAGGAGGCCAAACAAAUGGCGGCUGAACUACUUCCACCAGUCUUCAGACUGAAGCGAAAAAGAGAAUGAGUUGGAGCUGAUGGCAGUCAGCAUGAAGAAGCUAUAUCUUUAAGCUUCUGUAGAUUAUUUGUU